AUGUAGGGGUAUAAGGUAAAACUUUCCGUAUUUCUCUUCAAACACCCGACCUUAUAUGGGACUCCGUCGCUCCGGAGGUGGCGGAGUGGUCCAAACAACAAAUUACCAUCUCCAAACACAUUCAUUUCUAAACCCUCUCCCUCAAUUUCUAAUGAUUAUUUUACCCCGAGCUUAAAUCGAAACCCAAAACUAUGAACCCUAACAAACAAAAUCUUAAAUUAAAUCAUAAACGCGCCUCAAUACAAUCCAACACGAAGGGGUUAAUAUCCGUAUACACCUACGCAACAAUUUGGUAACGAUAAUUAAAUAGAAUUAGGGAUAUUGAAGGAACCCUACCGGAGCAGCUUGGAGUCGAAGGUGUGUGAGCUUUAAACAAGGUUGAUGUUUGAUAUUCUAUUUGGAACCAUGGUGUAAGGCUUGAAAUCAUGCUUUUGAAGUCUUGUUAUGCUAUCAUGUGGAGUUUGGCUCAUGGAAUUGGAUAUGGAUUUUGGAUGACAUUAUGGAGCUUGUUGGGCAUGGUUUGGACUUGGUUGAAGAAUGCUCCCUUAUGUAGUUUCUUUUGUAAUAUUUGAAUUGUUCAUUGUAAUAUGAAAACAUGUAUACUAUUGGUUUGAAAUAAAUUGGAAUUUGAAUGUAAUUUUGAAGCUAUAUGGAAAUGUAUGUGGUGAACUUGAAGUUGUAAUGAAAAUUGAUUUGAAUGAAGCUUGAAAUUUGAAAAGAAA